CCCUUAGAUGUCCUGGGCCGCACGCGCGCUACACUGAUGCAUUCAACGAGUUUUUCCUUGGCCGAGAGGCCUGGGCAAUCUUGUGAACGUGCAUCGUGAUAGGGAUAGAUUCUUGCAAUUAUUAAUCUUGAACGAGGAAUUCCUAGUAAACGCAGAUCAUCAAUCUGCAUUGAUUACGUCCCUGCCCUUUGUACACACCGCCCGUCGCACCUACCGAUUGAAUGGUCCGGUGAAGCCUCGAGAUUGUGGCUAGCUUGCUUCAUUGCGAGUUAGUUGCGAGAACUUGUCUAAACCUUAUCAUUUAGAGGAAGGUGAANUCGUANCA
rnacentral:rRNA from 1 species